UACAGAGGGGGCAAGCGUUGUUCGGAAUUACUGGGUUUAAAGGGUGCGUAGGCGGCUUUGUAAGUCAGGAGUGAAAGUUUGCGGCUCAACCGUAAAAUUGCUUUUGAUACUGCGAGGCUAGAAUUAGGAUGAGGUCAGCGGAAUGUGGCAUGUAGCGGUGAAAUGCAUAGAUAUGCCAUAGAACACCAAUUGCGAAGGCAGCUGGCUAGACCUGGAUUGACGCUGAGGCACGAAAGCGUGGGGAGCGAACAGG
rnacentral:rRNA from 1 species